rnacentral:rRNA from 1 species
GACGAACGCUGGCGGCGUGCUUAACACAUGCAAGUCGAACGGAAAGGCCUGCUUUCCCUUGUGGAUUGCGGGUACUCGAGUGGCGAACGGGUGAGUAACACGUGAGUGAUCUGCCCCCAACUUGGGUAUAAGCCUGGGAAACUGGGUCUAAUUCCCGAUAGGACUGCAGGGUGGUGCCUGUGGUGGAAAACGAUUUUCUAGUGGUUGGGGAUGAGCUCGCGGCCUAUCAGCUUGUUGGUAGGGUAAUGGCCUACCAAGGCGGCGACGGGUAGCCGGCCUGAGAGGGUGGACGGCCACAUUGGGACUGAGAUACGGCCCAGACUCCUACGGGAGGCAGCAGUGGGGAAUAUUGCACAAUGGGCGGGAGCCUGAUGCAGCGACGCCGCGUGGGGGAUGACGGCCUUCGGGUUGUAAACUCCUUUCGACCGCGAGGAAGCCACCUGGUUGGAAGGGUGGUGACGGUAGUGGUAGAAGAAGCACCGGCUAACUACGUG